rnacentral:rRNA from 1 species
UGGGGAAUUUUGCACAAUGGAGGAAACUCUGAUGCAGCGACGCCGCGUGAACGAAGAAGGUCUUCGGAUUGUAAAGUUCUGUCCUGGGUGAAGAUAAUGACGGUAACUCAGGAGGAAGCCCCGGCUAACUACGUGCCAGCAGCCGCGGUAAUACGUAGGGGGCGAGCGUUGUUCGGAAUUAUUGGGCGUAAAGGGUACGUAGGCGGUUUGUUAAGUUUGGCGUUAAAUCACGGGGCUCAACCCCGUUCAGCGUUGAAAACUGGCAAACUUGAGUAGUAGAGGGGACAGUGGAAUUCCUAGUGUAGCGGUGAAAUGCGUGGAGAUUAGGAAGAAUACCGGUGGCGAAGGCGACUGUCUGGAUACACACUGACGCUCAGGUACGAAAGCGUGGGGAGCAAACAGG